AUGCAGCAGACAGAGCCAGAGUAAUUGAAACUUCACAACUUUAUUGUCCACUCAAGGCCAGAAAAUAAACCGUGACAUAAUCGAUUAUGGCACUUUGCCGCAU